rnacentral:rRNA from 1 species
UACGUAGGGGGCUAGCGUUGUCCGGAUUUAUUGGGCGUAAAGAGCGUGUAGGCAGCCAGGUAGGUCUGGUGUGAAAACUCGAGGCUUAACCUUGAGAUGUCAUCGGAAACCAUUUGGCUAGAGUCCGGAAGAGGAAAGUGGAAUUCCUGGUGUAGCGGUGAAAUGCGCAGAUAUCAGGAAGAACACCAAUGGCGAAAGCAGCUUUCUGGGACGGUACUGACGCUGAGACGCGAAAGCGUGGGGAGCGAACAGG